rnacentral:rRNA from 1 species
CUACGGGUCGCACCAGUGGGGAAUAUUGCACAAUGGGCGCAAGCCUGAUGCAGCAACGCCGCGUGAGGGAUGAAGGCCUUCGGGUUGUAAACCUCUUUUAGCAGGGAAGAAGCGAAAGUGACGGUACCUGCAGAAAAAGCACCGGCUAACUACGUGCCAGCAGCCGCGGUAAUACGUAGGGUGCAAGCGUUGUCCGGAAUUAUUGGGCGUAAAGAGCUCGUAGGCGGUCUGUCACGUCUGCUGUGAAAAUCCAAGGCUCAACCUUGGACUUGCAGUGGGUACGGGCAGGCUAGAGUGCGGUAGGGGAGAUGGGAAUUCCUGGUGUAGCGGUGGAAUGCGCAGAUAUCAGGAGGAACACCAAUGGCGAAGGCACAUCUCUGGGCCGUAACUGACGCUGAGGAGCGAAAGCGUGGGGAGCGAACAGGAUUAGAUACCCCGGUAGUC